rnacentral:rRNA from 1 species
CCUUACCCGCUGAACUUAAGCAUAUCACUAAGCGGAGGAAAAGAAACUAACUAGGAUUGCCUCAGUAACGGCGAGUGAAGCGGCAAGAGCCCAACUUGGUAAUCUUCGCCUUGCAGGCGACGAAUUGUAAUCUCAAGGAGGAUUGCUCAACUGGCUGAGGCGCAGAAGUGCCCUAGAAUGGGCCGCCAAAGAGGGUGACAGCCCCGUAUGUAGUGCCUUAGCCUAACGAGCACCCUUUCAAAGAGUCGGGUUGUUUUGAAUUGCAGCCCUAAUUGGGAGAUAAACUUCUUCUAAGGCUAAAUACCUAUGGGAAACCGAUAGCGAACAAGUACUGUGAAGGAAAGAUGAAAAGCACUUUGAAAAGAGAGUCAAAAGACUUGAAAUCGUUGAGGCGGAAGCGGUAGACAUUUAUUCUUCGGCGGAGAGCGGUGGCUGUUGCCUAACCAUUGUCGGUUGUCAGUUCGUCAAAGGCUGCUGCCGGCUCCUGGGGAAGCGGCGUCUUGUUCUUCGUCGUGAGGCAAAAUGGGGUUGGAUACUCGCAGAAGCUUAUUGGGCCUGGCUGGCUUCGGUCGGCAGCCCAGUUGUGCUGGUGAGCAUCGAGCCUGAGGUUGCUUUGUGCGAUUUUGCCAAAAUGGUUUUUACCGACUCGUCUUGAAACACGAACCAAGGAGUCUAACAUAUAUGCGAGUGUGCUGGUGGAAAAACCAACACGCACAAUGAAGGUGAUUGAUGCCAAGCGCAAGCAGCAGCAUCGACCGACCAUGAUCCUCUGGAGAAAGGUUUGAGUAUGAGCAUAUCUGUUAGGACCCGAAAGAUGGUGAACUAUGCCUGAGUAGGGUGAAGUCAGGGGAAACUCUGAUGGAAGCUCGCAGCGGUACUGACGUGCAAAUCGUUCGUCUAACUUGGGUAUAGGGGCGAAAGACUAAUCGAACCAUCUAGUAGCUGGUUCCCUCCGAAGUUUCCCUCAGGA